UCCACUCUUUCACUUUCAAUGUAUUUGUUUUAAGGAGAGUCUCAUCAAUCAUAUGUAUUUGGAUGCAUUUUAAAAAUAAUCUUCAUUUUUCAGGUUUCUCUGAGAGUAUUUCAGUGAUUUCAAGAACUUCGAAUGUAACAGCACACUGCUCCUGGACUCUAAAAUAGCUAAUGAGAAAGCUGAUAAUCUUGAGGAUACCUUGAACACGUCCAGAUACUUCUUUCUCGUGCUUUUAGAAUUUUCUCUUGUCUUUGGCUUUUGAUAACUGACUAUGAUAUGUCUCAGUGUAGGAAUAUUUGAGUGCAACCUAAUGAAACUCUCAGAUGUUUAUGCCUUUCAUCAAAUUUGGGAAGUGUUCAUUUAUUCUUUCUUCAAAUAUUCAUCUGUAUCAUUGUGUCACUCUUCUCCUCCUCAGACUGCCACGAUGCUUAUGUAGUUUCUAUUUAGUGAUUUCCCAGAGGUCUGAUAGACUCUUUUCAUGUUUCUUCACUUUUCUUUUCUCUCUGCUCUUCAACAGUAUCCAUUAACCUGAUUUCAGUUCUACUAAUAAUAUUUUUCUGUCUGCUCAUAUCUGCUUGAAUUUUAUAAUUGAAUUUUAUAAUUCAAUUCAAUUAUUACACUUUCUGGCUCCAAAAUUUCAUUUUCCACCUCAUUUUAUUUUCAAAUAAUAUAUUAUAUCAUUUCAUGGUGCAUGUGAUUGGACAUCAUUAAAUGACUCCUAUUCUGCGGCUCUUAACCUGGAACUCAGAAACUUUCUCAUAUAUUUGGACAGUCUGCCAAUUUUGAACCUGUUUUAAUCUCAAAUUAUUUCCUAGCUCAGUGAGUUCUUAUACUGUACUGUAUAAGUACUGUAAUGCAACUAAACCAUGGAGGCUGCAUUCCCCACUUUUUGCUACAUAGUGACUGCUGGCUCUUUGGACAGUAGGAGUCAUCAUCUGUAACUGGUGGGGGAUGUCCUCUCAUUCCCCUGCCUCAGCCCUAAUCUCUGAGAAAGAGUAUAGAUUUUCAGGCUUCAGCACAUGGAGACUAUGCCCAUCAUAUCCUAACUUUUGCUUAUGAAAUAGACUUCUUUAAUAUGUCUUUUUCUGUUUCUCUAGGCUAGGAAUGUUAGCAGACUCUUUUCUUUGUAAUCACUAUUUUUCUUUACGAUAUUCUCUAACUUCUCAUAUCUUUUGUCAGCUGGAUAACCAACUCACUGUAAUAAUACACUUCUACUUUAAAUAUUGUUUUAUUUUUCUUGCUUGAUACUGAGUGAUAGAAGCAUUCAAUAAAUGUCACUAAUUGAUAUAAAUCAGA